rnacentral:pre_miRNA from 1 species
AUAUACACUGAGUGGCCAGAUUAUUAUAAUCUCUGAACGCAUAAUAAUCUGGCCACUCUGUGUGUGU